GUGCAUUGAGCGCGCUCCAGCUGCCGGGACGGAGGGGGCGGCCCCCGCGCUCGGGCGCUCGGCUACAGCUGCGGGGCCCGAGGUCUCCGCGCACUCGCUCCCGGCCCAUGCUGGAGGCGGCGGAACCGCGGGGACCUAGGACGGAGGCGGCGGGCGCUGGGCGGCCCCCGGCACGCUGAGCUCGGGAUGCGGACGCUGCUGCCUCCCGCGCUGCUGACCUGCUGGCUGCUCGCCCCCAUUUUUAGUAGAGACAGGGUUUCACCAUGUUAGCCAGGAUGGUCUCGAUCUCCUGACCUCGUGAUGGGCCCGCCUCGGCCUCCCAAAGUGCUGGGAUUAAGGCGUGAGCCACUGCGCCCGGCCCAAGAGAAUAGGGGAGCCAAGGAGGAAAUGUGGAAACGCAGUUGUGUGGCCCAGCACGAGCCUGGGCGACCACCGGGUGACAUCCGUCCCACAUCAGGGCGGCCUCCCAGGUCCCAUAAGGGUAGCCCCCUCAUCUGCAGGACAGAGGGAAGCCAGUCAGGGCCCCCCUGACGUUAGGACCAGGAGAAAUCAACAGGAGGGCAGCCCGUCCUCUCUCUUGGGGCGCCCACCCGGCCCGGCUGAGCCCUGCCCCACCCAACUCCACAGGGCUGUUUUGCCUCCCCACGGAAGGCGGGCUGAGGAGACAACCAGAUCAGGAGAGCAAGGUCAUGAAGGAGGGGACCUCUCCACACAGGUGUUCCGUGGGACCCUCAGCAGCUCUGGCUCUGCCUCAGGAGGUCACCUGCCGCCCUGUGGGAGCCGCAGAGCCUGACGCUCAGCCCCAGGCCAGCUGCGGCCAGGCCUGCGGGCCCCUGGUGAUGGGGUUACGUGGGGUGCGGGAUACAGCUGAGUGGGAACCGGAAACCUAUUCUCUUUUUAACAAAAAUAAUCUUAGGAUAAGAAUUAUUUUAACAACAUAUAAAACUGUUUCAAGCCCUCCUCCCCAGAGCUGGCGCUCAGCAGCCCUAGCGGCUGCUCCUUCAGGCGAAGGGUGGUUUGCAGAUGUGGGGAGGGUGUCUGGGGACGUUGCUGAGCCAGCUGCAGAAGGGUGGGGAUAUCAGGGCACAGUCUCCAUGUGUGUGCCAAGCCCUGGCCCCCACAGCGCUCGAUGGACCUCAGCAAGCUGCCCAGCCCUGGCCCAGGUGCCCCGACUGUGGGACUCAGUUGUUCUGAGCACAUUUGACUCCACUUUUCCCUUAAAAAUGAAUGUCUUGUUCCUGUGCAUUGGUGGCAUCACAGACCCCAGCUGGGGCGCGAUGUCAAAGGUCGGGACAGCUGUGCCGGGAGGCAGCCACAGGGAAGCUCACACAUCCUGUCAGUGUCACCUUGGUUUGCAAAACCCAUAUCCCCGGUAAAAUGAGGCCGGACAGAGGGGCUGUUAGGACAGCAAAGCAGCAGUGUCCAGAGACCCCUCAAUCCCCAAAGGUCCGCACCCUGUCCUGCACACCCUGGGCCACGCCGGCCACACCCCUCUGCUGCAACAAGCUCAUCCCUGGACUUCUGGGAGAAUGAACCCGAGGUUGGUUUGGGGAGACAGGUGAGGCGGUCGGAUCUACAGAACAACCCACCAUUUCUGGGGGCCGCAGAGGAUCCAUCACAGACGGAUACUGGGGAGUAAACGGCCCAGGCCAGGUGCCCAGGAAAGGACGGCUGAGCAUGUGGAGCGAGAGGGAGGCAGGUGGACGCUGCAGACCCCAGGUUCAGUGCGGCCCCUCGGCUGUUCCUCCCCUGUAGGGUUUGGACAGACCCACCCCCAGCCUUGCCCAGCUUUCAAAGGACAAAAGGGAGCAUCCCCCACCUACUCUCAGGUUUUUGAGGAAACAAAGAUUUGUGGUAACUGAAGGUGUUGGGUCAGUGGCCAGGUGCCGACACUGAGCUGUGACCCAGAGGGGACGCUGAGGAAGUGGGCGUGAGUGGACGUGUCAGGUGGUUACCAGGCACUGGUUGUUGAUGGUCGGUGGUUGGGUGUGGGCAGUCAUCAGUCAUCAGGUGUGCUCAGGGGACAAUCUCCCCUCAACCGCACAUGUGCCACUGUUCAGCGGAGCUGACUGGUUUCUCCUGGUAGAGGGGCCGGCUGUUUCCUGACAGAUGCCUGGUGAGCAGGGGAAGCAGGACCCAGUGGUCAGCAGGUGUCUUUAACUGUCAUUGUGUGUGGAAUGUCGCAGACUCCUCCACGUGGCGGGAAUGAGCUGUGUAAAUACUUCAAUAAAGCCUGACUUCACAUCUGC
rnacentral:lncRNA from 1 species